rnacentral:lncRNA from 1 species
GAAGAUUCCACGGUUUAAUCACACUCCAGCUCUUUUCAGAGCACCUUCUACGUGCCAGGGAUGGCAGAUGCUUAAGUACAUGCAGGCUGUGAAGUGAGUUGUAAAUAAGAUAUUGUUAUUAGGACUAUCCCUGAUAAGAAAGGCAUGUCCUCUGCACCUCUAAUCCUGGGCCACUGCUAUGCAUCCCCACUUAGAUGACCGACUGCAGUCGCUCAGAGCAAUUGUAGAGGAUGGCAAGGAAUCAACCUAUUUGGAUGAAGACGUUUUGUGGGCGGGCAGAGAAGAAAACUCUUGAGAGAAGGAAGCAUUGCCAGGGGCAUGGGAGCCUACAACUGCUGGUGCCUCAGUCCCAUCUUUGACCAAUUCAUUCAACAAACAUUUAUCAAGGAAUGUCUUUGUGCCAGACCCCAUCCUAGGCAUGGGGCAUGCAAGAAGGACAGGUCCCUGUACCCAUGGAACCCCCGUGCAGGAAGCAAAACAGGAAAUGAACAAUUAAACAAAUACACAGUGUAAUUUCAGAUCAUACUAAAUGGUGGAAAAUAAAGUGUGUUGAUGUGAUAGCAAGGGACUGGGGACUAGGGAGCGUCCGGGAUUGCUGUCUGUUAGGAGAUCAUAUUUGAGUUGAGACUCGAAUGCAGAGAAGGAAUCUACUGAGCGAAAACUAGUGGAAGAAGCACUUCUGUUCAACAUAGCAGUGGAACUCCUAGU